rnacentral:lncRNA from 1 species
CCGGAGUUCUCUUCGGGCCAGGGCCUAAGCCGCGCCAGGCGAGGGACGGACAUUCAUGGCGAAUGGCGGCUGCUCUUCUCGUUCUGCCAGCGGGCCCCUCGUCUCUCCACCCCAUCCGUCUGCCGGUGGUGUGUGGAAGGCAGGGGUGCGGCUCUCCGGCCCGAGCGCUGCCCCGCGCGCACUUUUCUCAGUGGUUCGCGUGGUCCUUGUGGAUGUGUGAGGCGCCCGGUUGUGCCCUCACGUGUUUCACUUUGGUCGUGUCUCGCUUGACCAUGUCCCCAGAGUCGGUGGAUGUGGCCGGUGGCGUUGCAUACCCUUCCCGUCUGGUGUGUGCACGCGCUGUUUCUUGUAAGCGUCGAGGUGCUCCUGGAGCGUUCCAGGUUUGUCUCCUAGGUGCCUGCUUCUGAGCUGGUGGUGGCGCUUCCCAUUCCCUGGUGUGCCUCCGGUGCUCCGUCUGGCUGUGUGCCUUCCCGUUUGUGUCUGAGAAGCCCGUGAGAGGGGGGUCGAGGAGAGAAGGAGGGGCAAGACCCCCCUUCUUCGUCGGGUGAGCGCCCACCCCGCGCACUAGUACGCCUGUGCGUAGGGCUGGUGCUGAGCGGUCGCGGCUGGCCUUGGAAAGUUUCUCGAGAGACUCAUUGCUUUCCCGUGGGGAGCUUUGAGAGGCCUGGCUUUCGGGGGGGACCGGUUGCAGGGUCUCCCCUGUCCGCGGAUGCUCAGAAUGCCCUUGGAAGAGAACCUUCCUGUUGCCGCAGACCCCCCGCGCGGUCGCCCGCGUGUUGGUCUUCUGGUUUCCCUGUGUGCUCCUCGCAUGCAUCCUCUCUUGGUGGCCGGGGCUCGUCGGGGUUUUGGGUCCGUCCCGCCCUCAGUGAGAAAGUUUCCUUCUCUAGCUAUCUUCCGGAAAGGGUGCGGGCUUCUUACGGUCUUGAGGGGUCUCUCCCGAAUGGUCCCCUCGAGGGCUCGCCCCCUGACCGCCUCCCGUGCGCGCAGCGUUUGCUCUCUCGUCUA